rnacentral:rRNA from 1 species
AGCACGCUUAGGCGUGUGACUGCGUACCUUUUGUAUAAUGGGUCAGCGACUUAUAUUCUGUAGCAAGGUUAACCGAAUAGGGGAGCCGAAGGGAAACCGAGUCUUAACUGGGCGUUAAGUUGCAGGGUAUAGACCCGAAACCCGGUGAUCUAGCCAUGGGCAGGUUGAAGGUUGGGUAACACUAACUGGAGGACCGAACCGACUAAUGUUGAAAAAUUAGCGGAUGACUUGUGGCUGGGGGUGAAAGGCCAAUCAAACCGGGAGAUAGCUGGUUCUCCCCGAAAGCUAUUUAGGUAGCGCCUCGUGAAUUCAUCUCCGGGGGUAGAGCACUGUUUCGGCAAGGGGGUCAUCCCGACUUACCAACCCGAUGCAAACUGCGAAUACCGGAGAAUGUUAUCACGGGAGACACACGGCGGGUGCUAACGUCCGUCGUGAAGAGGGAAACAACCCAGACCGCCAGCUAAGGUCCCAAAGUCAUGGUUAAGUGGGAAACGAUGUGGGAAGGCCCAGACAGCCAGGAUGUUGGCUUAGAAGCAGCCAUCAUUUAAAGAAAGCGUAAUAGCUCACUGGUCGAGUCGGCCUGCGCGGAAGAUGUAACGGGG